rnacentral:rRNA from 1 species
UGGGGGAUAUUGCACAAUGGGCGAAAGCCUGAUCCAGCCACGCCGCGUGGGGGAUGAAGGCCUUCGGGUUGUAAACUUCUUUUGCUCUGAACAAGGCAGGCCUUUGGGGUGUGUUGAGUGUAGGGGUUGAUUAGCGCCGGAUAACUACGUGUCAGCAGCCGCGGUAAUACGUAGGGCGCGAGCGUUGUCCGGAAUUAUUGGGCGUAAAGGGCUUGUAGGUGGCUGGUUGCGUCUGUCGUGAAAGCUCAUGGCUUAACUGUGGGUUUGCGAUGGAUACGGGCUGGCUUGAGUGCAGUAGGGGAGGCUGGAAUUCCUGGUGUAGCGGUGGAAUGCGCAGAUAUCAGGAGGAAUACCGGUGGCGAAGGCGGGUCUCUGUGCUGUUACUGACGCUGAGGAGCGAAAGCGUGGGGAGCGAACAGG